UUUAUCUAGAGACUACAUCCUGUUUGUUCCAGUGGAAGGUGUUUUAUCUAGACUACAUCCUGUUUGUUCCAGUGUAAGGUGUUAGUCAGGUGUUUUAUCUAGAGACUACAUCCUGUUUGUUCCAGUGUAAGGUAUUAGUCAGGUGUUUUAUCUAGAGACUACAUCCUGUUUGUUCCAGUGUAAGGUGUUUUAUCUAGAGACUACAUCCUGUUUGUUCCAGUGUAAGGUGUUUUAUCUAGAGACUACAUCCUGUUUGUUCCAGUGGAAGGUGUUAGUCAGGUGUUUUAUCUAGAGACUACAUCCUGUUUGUUCCAGUGGAAGGUGUUUUAUCUAGACUACAUCCUGUUUGUUCCAGUGUAAGGUGUUAGUCAGGUGUUUUAUCUAGAGACUACAUCCUGUUUGUUCCAGUGUAAGGUGUUUUAUCUAGAGACUACAUCCUGUUUGUUCCAGUGUAAGGUGUUAGUCAGGUGUUUUAUCUAGAGACUACAUCCUGUUUGUUCCAGUGUAAGGUGUUAGUCAGGUGUUUUAUCUAGAGACUACAUCCUGUUUGUUCCAGUGUAAGGUAUUAGUCAGGUGUUUUAUCUAGACUACAUCCUGUUUGUUCCAGUGUAAGGUGUUAGUCAGGUGUUUUAUCUAGAGACUACAUCCUGUUUGUUCCAGUGUAAGGUGUUUUAUCUAGAGACUACAUCCUGUUUGUUCCAGUGUAAGGUGUUUUAUCUAGAGACUACAUCCUGUUUGUUCCAGUGUAAGGUGUUAGUCAGGUGUUUUAUCUAGAGACUACAUCCUGUUUGUUCCAGUGUAAGGUGUUUUAUCUAGAGACUACAUCCUGUUUGUUCCAGUGUAAGGUGUUAGUCAGGUGUUUUAUCUAGAGACUACAUCCUGUUUGUUCCAGUGUAAGGUGUUUUAUCUAGAGACUACAUCCUGUUUGUUCCAGUGUAAGGUGUUUUAUCUAGAGACUACAUCCUGUUUGUUCCAGUGUAAGGUGUUAGUCAGGUGUUUUAUCUAGAGACUACAUCCUGUUUGUUCCAGUGUAAGGUGUUUUAUCUAGAGACUACAUCCUGUUUGUUCCAGUGUAAGGUGUUUUAUCUAGAGACUACAUCCUGUUUGUUCCAGUGUAAGGUGUUAGACAGGUGUUUUAUCUAGAGACUACAUCCUGUUUGUUCCAGUGUAAGGUGUUUUA